rnacentral:rRNA from 1 species
CAAAGUGAAGAUGGCGACCGGCGCACGGGUGAGUAACACGUAUCCAACCUGCCCUUUACUCGGGGAUAGCCUUUCGAAAGAAAGAUUAAUACCCGAUGGCAUAAUAGAACCGCAUGGUUUGAUUAUUAAAGAAUUUCGGUUAUCGAUGGGGAUGCGUUCCAUUAGGCAGUUGGUGGGGUAACGGCCCACCAAACCUUCGAUGGAUAGGGGUUCUGAGAGGAAGGUCCCCCACAUUGGAACUGAGACACGGUCCAA